UCAAAAUUAGAUCAGACCAGGUAUGGGAGC
rnacentral:piRNA from 1 species